rnacentral:sRNA from 5 species
CAUCGACAGUUCGUCGGUCGCCGGUUUUCUGACCCGUCCCCCGUUGGAUGCCGGAUGUUAGCGGCAGCCUCAUUUCCCCUCUCCGGGCUGCCGCUUUGAGUGUAGUGAUAUGGCCGUUACGGUAACCCCCUCACCGUAACGGCCAAUUCAU